AUUGAACGCUGGCGGCAUGCCUUACACAUGCAAGUCGAACGGUAACAGGUCUUCGGAUGCUGACGAGUGGCGAACGGGUGAGUAAUACAUCGGAACGUGCCUAGUAGUGGGGGAUAACUACUCGGAAGAGUGGCUAAUACCGCAUGAGAUCUACGGAUGAAAGCAGGGGAUCGCAAGACCUUGUGCUACUAGAGCGGCCGAUGGCAGAUUAGGUAGUUGGUGGGAUAAAAGCUUACCAAGCCGACGAUCUGUAGUUGGUCUGAGAGGACGAUCAGCCACACUGGGACUGAGACACGGCCCAGACUCCUACGGGAGGCAGCGGUGGGGAAUUUUGGACAAUGGGCGCAAGCCUGAUCCAGCAAUGCCGCGUGCAGGAUGAAGGCCUUCGGGUUGUAAACUGCUUUUGUACGGAACGAAAAGCCCUGGGUUAAUACCCUGGGGUCAUGACGGUACCGUAAGAAUAAGCACCGGCUAACUACGUGCCAGCCGCCGCGGUAA
rnacentral:rRNA from 1 species